rnacentral:rRNA from 1 species
GAUGACGAGUGGCGCACGGGUGCGGAACGCGUAUCGAACCUGCCCCUGUCAGGGGAAUAGCCCAUGGAAACGUGGAUUAAUGCCCCAUGGUACCAUUAUAUCGCAUGAUAUUAUGGUUAAAGAUUUAUCGGACAGGGAUGGCGAUGCGUGCCAUUAGUUAGUUGGUAAGGUAACGGCUUACCAAGACAGCGAUGGCUAGGGGCCCUGAGAGGGGGAUCCCCCACACUGGUACUGAGACACGGACCAGACUCCUACGGGAGGCAGCAGUGAGGAAUAUUGGACAAUGGUGGGAACACUGAUCCAGCCAUGCCGCGUGCAGGAUGACUGCCCUAUGGGUUGUAAACUGCUUUUAUACGGGAAUAAACCCAGGUACGUGUACCUGGCUGACGGUACCGUAAGAAUAAGGACCGGCUAACUCCGUGCCAGCAGCCGCGGUAAUACGGAGGGUCCGAGCGUUAUCCGGAAUCAUUGGGUUUAAAGGGUCCGUAGGCGGGCCAAUAAGUCAGAGGUGAAAGGCCACGGCUCAACCGUGGGACUGCCUUUGAUACUGUUGGUCUUGAGUCAUAGUGGGGUUGCCGGAACAUGUGGUGUAGCGGUGAAAUGCAUAGAUAUCACAUAGAACACCGAUCGCGAAGGCAGGUGGCCAACUAUGUACUGACGCUGAUGGACGAAAGCGUGGGGAGCGAACGGGAUUAGAUACCCCGGUAGUCCACGCCGUAAACGAUGGAUACUAGCUGUGGGGUCUUCGGACUCCGUGGCCAAGCGAAAGUGAUAAGUAUCCCACCUGGGGAGUACGUUCGCAAGAAUGAAACUCAAGGAAUUGACGGGGCCCGCACAGCGGUGGAGCAU